CUCCGGUUGAUCCCGCCGGACCCGACUGCUAUCAGAGUGGGACUAAGCCAUGCGAGUCAACAUAGCAAUAUGUGGCAUACGGCUCAGUAACACGUAGUCAACAUGCCCAGGGGACGUGGAUAACCUCGGGAAACUGAGGAUAAACCGCGAUAGGUCAUCACUUCUGGAAUGGGUAAUGACUUAAAUCUAUAUGGCCCCUGGAUUGGACUGCGGCCGAUCAGGCUGUUGGUGAGGUAAUGGCCCACCAAACCUGUAACCGGUACGGGCUCUGAGAGGAGGAGCCCGGAGAUGGGCACUGAGACAAGGGCCCAGGCCCUAUGGGGCGCAGCAGGCGCGAAACCUCUGCAAUAGGCGAAAGCUUGACAGGGUUACUCUGAGUGAUUUCCGUUAAGGAGAUCUUUUGGCACCUCUAAAAAUGGUGCAGAAUAAGGGGUGGGCAAGUCUGGUGUCAGCCGCCGCGGUAAUACCAGCACCCCGAGUGGUCGGGACGUUUAUUGGGCCUAAAGCAUCCGUAGCCGGUUCUACAAGUCUUCCGUUAAAUCCACCUGCUUAACAGAUGGGCUGCGGAAGAUACUAUAGAGCUAGGAGGCGGGAGAGGCAAGCGGUACUCGAUGGGUAGGGGUAAAAUCCGUUGAUCCAUUGAAGACCACCAGUGGCGAAGGCGGCUUGCCAGAACGCGCUCGACGGUGAGGGAUGAAAGCUGGGGGAGCAAACCGGAUUAGAUACCCGGGUAGUCCCAGCUGUAAACGAUGCAGACUCGGUGAUGAGUUGGCUACAUGCCAUCUCAGUGCCGCAGGGAAGCCGUUAAGUUUGCCGCCUGGGGAGUACGGUCGCAAGACUGAAACUUAAAGGAAUGGCGGGGGAGCA
rnacentral:rRNA from 1 species